CAAAGUGUAGCUUAAAUAAAAGCAUCUAGUUUACACCUAGAAGAUUUCAUGCAAACUGACCACUUUGA
rnacentral:tRNA from 1 species